AGCACUUGUGGUAUGUCUUUGUUUAAUGUGUAACAAAGACUUAAAAACAGGUGCAAACAGUAAAUUCUCAUUUUCAACCCAGAACUCAUUGAUGAGUAUGAGUUUUGGACAUAUAAUGAGGAACAUG